UUAAGUGGAAAAGGAUGUGGAAUUGCACAGACAACCAGGAUGUUGGCUUAGAAGCAGCCACUCAUUAAAAGAGUGCGUAAUAGCUCACUGGUCGAGUGACUCUGCGCCGAAAAUUUAACGGGGCUAAACUAUACACCGAAGCUUGGGAUACAUCUAAUGUAUGGUAGGAGAGCGUUCUGUAUGGGGUGAAGUCGUAGCGAAAGCGGCGGUGGACUAUACAGAAGUGAGAAUGCCGGAAUAAGUAGCGAGAAUUAAGUGAGAAUCUUAAUGGCCGAAAGUCUAAGGUUUUUGGAGGAAGGUUCGUCCGCUCCAAGUAAGUCGGGAGCUAAGGUCAGGCCGAAAGGCGUAGCCGAUGCACAUACGGUUGAUAUUCCGUAACCAUCUGUAAUUUAAGCAAAGGGACACUUCAAAAGGGUGUGACCCGGGCGUUGGUUGACCCGGGCGUAAGGGACCGAAAUUAGAGUAGGGAAGCACACUUGGCUGAAGGCGAGAAAAGCUUUGCGUAUAGAAACAGAUGCCCGUACCGCAAACCGACACAGGUGGACAGGAAGAGAAUUCUAAGGCCAGCGGGAGAAGGGUAGUUAAGGAACUCGGCAAAUUGACUCCGUAACUUCGGAAUAAGGAGUGCUCGAAAGAGCCGCAGAGAAUAGGCCCAGGCGACUGUUUAGCAAAAACACAGGUCUCUGCCAAAUCGAAAGAUGAAGUAUAGGGGCUGACACCUGCCCGGUGCCGGAAGGUUAAGAGGAGGAGUGAGAGCUCCGAAUUGAAGCCCCGGUAAACGGCGGCCGUAACUAUAACGGUCCUAAGGUAGCGAAAUUCCUUGUCGGGUAAGUUCCGACCCGCACGAAUGGUGUAACGAUCUGGGCACUGUCUCAACUACCCACCCGGCGAAAUUGUAGUACCGGUGAAGAUGCCGGUUACCUGCGGCAAGACGGAAAGACCCCAUGGAGCUUUACUGUAGCCUGAUAUUGGGUUUCGGAAAUCUAUGUACAGGAUAGGCGGGAGACUUGGAAACAUGAGCGUCAGCUUGUGUGGAGUCGAUGUUGGGAUACCGCCCUUAGGUUUCUGGAAUUCUAACCUGCGGCCGUGAAACCGGUCGGGGGACAUUGUCAGGUGGGCAGUUUGACUGGGGCGGUCGCCUCCGAAAAGGUAACGGAGGCGCUCAAAGGUUAGCUCAGCACGGACGGAAACCGUGCCUCUGAGUGUAAACGCAAAAGCUAGCCUAACUGCGAGGGUGACGGCCCGAGCAGUAACGAAAGUUGGAGUUAGUGAUCCGGCGGUAUGUGAAUGGAAAUGCCGUCGCUCAACGGAUAAAAGCUACCCUGGGGAUAACAGGCUGAUCUCCCCCAAGAGUCCACAUCGACGGGGAGGUUUGGCACCUCGAUGUCGGCUCAU
rnacentral:rRNA from 1 species